rnacentral:rRNA from 1 species
UACGUAGGGGGGCAAGCGUUGUCCGGAUUUAUUGGGCGUAAAGAGCUCGUAGGUGGUUCGGUAAGUCGGAUGUGAAAUCUCCAGGCUCAACCUGGAGGGGUCAUUCGAUACUGCCGUGACUAGGAGGUCGGUAGGGGAGUGUGGAAUUCCUGGUGGUAGCGGUGAAAUGGCGGCAGAUAGUCAGGAGGAACACCCCGUAGCGAAGGCGGCACUCUGGGCCGAUACUGACACUGAGGAGCGAAAGCGUGGGGAGCGAACAGG